UACGUAGGGUGCGAGCGUUGUCCGGAAUUACUGGGCGUAAAGAGCUCUAGGUGGUUUGUCGCGUUGUCCGUGAAAACUCACAACUCAAUUGUGGGCGUGCGGGCGAUACGGGCAGACUGGAGUACUGCAGGGGAGACUGGAUUCCUGGUGUAGCGGUGGAAUGCGCAGAUAUCAGGAGGAACACCGGUGGCGAAGGCGGUCUC
rnacentral:rRNA from 1 species